ensembl:lncRNA
GUGUUAUGGCUGCUUGACAGUUUAUAGACAACUUACUGUCUCAGCUGCUCUGCCAAAUAUACGUUUGUCACGCUGCGCUUUUCAUCUAAGUAAGCCUGAUCUCUCUGGGAACAAAACAACAUGAAAUUCUGUGCAAAAUGUUUAGAAUGCAUUUCCCUGAUGCAAAAACACUGUCCCUAAAAUGAUCGAAUGAUUGAAAAACUAUGGUAAUGAUAUAAAAACACUUAAAGCUGGAGCAGCUUCUUUCAUCACUACUGAAGACAGCAGUGAGGGGAAAAAAAGAUUCAUUUUAUAAAAAUAUUAUAAUAUUCUCCAUCAUAUGUUUCAGUUAAUGAUACUAGUGAGACUAAAAAGAAUGUGUGAUGUGGCGUAAAGUCUAAUGAAUGAACAUGUUAUGUUUAUUUCCAUAGAGAAAUGGUAAAUGGCCUGUAUUUGUAUAGCACUUUACUAGUCCCUAAGGACCCCAAAGUGUUUUACACAACCAGUCAUCCACACACUGGUGAUGGCAAGCUACAUUGUAGCCACAGCCACCCUGGGGUGCACUGACAGAGGCGAGGCUGCCGGACACUGGCGCCACCGGGCCCUCUGACCAGUAGGCAAUGGGUGAAGUGUCUUGCCCAUGGACACAAUGACCAAGACUGUCCAAGCCGGGCUCGUACCGGCAACCUUCCGAUUACAAGGCGAACUCUCAACUCUUGAGCCACAAUGAUGAGCCUGUAAUGAAUGUGAUUUUGGAUGAUGACUUAGGCCCAAGGAACAAGUCUUUGAGUUACAGUCUGCUGGAUUUCAUGGUCUGCAGAGAAAGUUGUGUGUGAUCGAAGAUUCAGAUCUUUGUUCUUAGAUUGUUUAAAAUAUUUUCAAUAUUUGGCACUGGCAUUAGCCGUUUUUGGUUGAAUUUGCUUUUUUCUUUUUUUUUUCUCUCAUAUAAUUCAGUGUCUAUGCAUGGCUCCACAUUCAGAUUUUGUCUUGUCAUUUGAUCAUCUCCACGUUUGCAAAUCAGCUGAACAAUCUUUGGUAUUUCUUGAGUUUUAUCAGAAGUAAAGAAAACCCCUUAGAAAUUUUAAAUUUCAAAUGAUAUCUAGCAUCUUUCUGUUUCUAUCACAGCUCCUCUGUUUCUGCUUCUCCCACACUCCAUUCCACCAAACUGAUCCUCUUAUCAGGGAUUGUGGAAAGGAUUUCUGUAUUUACCGUGGCAAAUUCUCCACAGGGUUCCUUUUGACUUGUCUCUUCUGUGCACAUGUGAGCACCGCCAUCAUAGUCCUUGUCUUCAAUAAUAAUUUUUAUGCCAACGACACCCAACUCUUCUUUUCCUUUCCUUUUUUUAAACACAGCUUGAUGCUUCUCUGGUCGGGACCUCCAGCUGGAGAUCUGCCCUGCACCUCAAGCUAAGUCUUGACAAGGCUUAGCAGCAGUUCCUUUACUGACAAGCAAGUCUUUGCUCUCUAUCACUGUUUAUAUCACCACAGUGCCGCCUGUCAAGACUUACAAGAGUCUGGGUGCAAUUCUUGAGAACUGUCACGGAUAAAAAAAAUUCUUUAAAAAAAAUUAGGCUUGAGGACUUUUUGUAGAAGGAAAAAAAAAUCAGAAUUUCAUUUAUCUUAAAGAUUCAUCAUCUGAUCUAGGACUUUCAGUCAAACUGUCAAGAGUUCAAGUUCACUUGAUUUUUGUGACGGCAUCUGUACUAUGAGUGUCUUUAUGAAAUAUGUCAGAAAGAAGUUAUUUUGAAAAAUUUGUAAAAAAAAAAAAAAAAAGUUUAAAAAAUUCAAUAAGACUUAAAUCCAAAACUACAGCACAUGAAGUUAUAAGUUCUAUGAAUUUGCAAAAUUUUUCAUGUCACAUCAUUUUACUAUUUACCUGAAAACUCAGAAAUAUACACAAAUAUCUAUGCUAUACCUACACAUACACAAAGACCUUUGAUUAUGAAGAUGUGUUCUGUAUUAAUUGUUAUGAAUUGAACAUGCUUUAGUAACAUAAGGUCUAAUCCAUACUAUAUAUACUUUAUUAUAUACAUAUCUAUAUAUACUCUUAUUGCUACACUGUUAGGUUAGGGUAAUAUUGCUGUAAGCAGACAAGGUUUUUCUGAGGUUUGAUAUCUUUGAUUUAAG